CACUUAUAUAGUUAUUAUAUAGUUAUAUUAUAAUUGACUAUAGUCUACAUAUAUAUUGAUAUAGCACCAAUGUAGAUGUUCUAAGCCAAUCAUCUUACGUUCAUUUUUUCUUCCCGGAAUAAAUUUGCCAAAACUCAACAUCAUUCACAGAAACUCAAUUUCCAUCAGCUUCUUUUCUCUGCAAGAUUUCAUACAAAAAUAUAGCAAUUUCUGUGAACCAUCUCUACCCAAAAUCAAAUUCAGCCAUACACCAAACAAAUCAAAGAACACAACUUAUCCACUUGAUAGAAGGUUUUAGCACUAGUUUUACAAGAAGAGAAUUGUGCAAGUUUUAUCUACAGGCUUGUCCUAUCAAGGUUGAGCGGCAGAUGGUGUCGUGUGAAGCUGAUGGAGGAUGUUGCUGUAUUUUCAAAUAAUAAUUUUCGCUGCCAUAAUAUUCACUUAGGCGGAUAUCUUUUGAGAUUGACUCUUUAAAUAUUCUUAGCCUAAUUAUUAUGAACUCUUUUGGCAAUCGCAUUCCUAACGAUUGAACCUCGCAUAUAUGUGUGUCUAGUGUGAAGUGUUAUCAUGUUGUCUUAGACCUCCGAACUUUUGAUCCUAGUUGGGAAAAUUUCUAUCUUAAUUGUUGUAUUUAUUAUCCUUCAAUUGCGGUAUUCCUUUAUUAAAAAUGUGUUACCCGAAUCUAAGGACAUAUCGCCUAUUUUAUUCUAACAAAGUCUAGCAAUCCCAUUAAGUAGCCCGUUUCUUAUUCUCCCGGGAGUCGGGCUGUUACACCUAAAUGAUCAGUAAAAGUUUAGUUGCACCUAAAUGCAUUUUUAUACUAUGGCAUGCUAUAUUGAAAAGAA